rnacentral:rRNA from 1 species
ACGCUCGACACCUACGGGAGGCGGCAGUGGGGAAUAUUGCACAAUGGGGGAAACCCUGAUGCAGCGACGCCGCGUGAAGGAAGAAGUAUCUCGGUAUGUAAACUUCUAUCAGCAGGGAAGAAAAUGACGGUACCUGACUAAGAAGCCCCGGCUAACUACGUGCCCGCAGCCGCCGGUAAGUACUGAGCGGGCGUGGCGAAGGACG